GAAUAUAGUCAUAUUAGUCAUAUUUGUAGGCAUAAGUAUUUUGCCGUUUUAUGCUAUUAACAUGGAUGAUGUGAGUUUGUUCA
rnacentral:pre_miRNA from 1 species